AUACAUUUCAUGCAUGGGGGAUGCUGUCACACAGUAAAAUAAUGAAAAGCAGACAGUGUUAGUGACAAGUCAUGUUUGCUUGCUGGACCAAUCAGCAGAAGAAGGGAAAUUAAAAGCUACCUAUUUUCAGAUACAUAAUAUAAAAACUGUAUUUUAUAAAGAAAAUUACAUCUCUCUCCAGCUAUUCAAAUAUGGUAAGAAACUAUAGAUAAACCAAAGAUUUUUUACGUUGGGUGUUUUUUGUUAUAGCAUUUCUGAGUCCAAUGCAAUGCUUCAUCAAAUUGAGUGAACAGGAAUUUUCGGAGGUCAUUAAAUGUCCAGUGUUACACAGUAUUAUACAGACAGUGUUUAUCUCCUGAUUUAAAUAUGAAAUUUCCUUUGGGUAAACUCAGUUUAUAAUAGUCACAGUGUCUAAUUUGGUUUUGGUUUUUUUGGUUUUUGUUUUGUUUUGUUUUUGUUUUUUUUUUUACUUUCAGUACAAAACCUGUCAAAGAAGAAAUAUUUUCAACAUGAAAGGCACCUUUUUUCUUUGCAUUCUUACUAUGGCAUUGUCCGGCAGGCAGAUUAUUUGUUUCCAAGACAGCAUAAAUCACCAAGUGUCACUGAGAAAGUGAGGAGGAAAACAGAAAGAAGCAUCAGGGAGAGCACUGCAAGAGAUCUUCCAAAGCAUAAAUCCAGUGCCAGUGUUUUAGCCUGACAAGAAAUAAACCUUUGACUGUUCAGGACAUGGCUCUGAAGCAUCCAGGGCAGGGAUGAAACAUGGAACAUCUGAAGCCCCACUGACUGCAUAUGAGAAGACAGCAGAGGAAAGAAGCAACCAGCCUUAAGAAAAUGCUAGCAUUGAACACAGCCACGUUUUCCUCUAGAAGACCCACAAGUCCCAAGAAAGACAGUGUGCAGCUGUGACAGAUUGCUGUAUUGUUUUUGCAAGGCUCUCUGAAGAAUGAGCAGUUGUCUUCUCUGUCCUUCACGACAGCUGGUUGAUAUCCAUAAGGCUUCCUGGAGCUCUGCUUCCUCUUGGAAGAAAAUCUGGAAUUCUGUUUUCUUCUGUAUUCUUGUUUUUGUUUUUUUUUUUUUACUGGAGUGUUUAAGCUAAAAAUGUAUCAAAAUUCUGUGGUGAAACUUAGGCAUGAGAAUCCAAUUCAAUAACUUAAUUUCUGCUUAAAA